UAGGAAGCAAGCAAAGAUAAACACUGCUCGGAUUAUAGUGGGUUGGCUUGGUCUGAAAGUCACCUCAGCAGUGCCACUGCAGGAUCUUGGAAAGAACCCACAACAGGACACGUGAGCCGACUGUGGCCAGCAUGGAUGUGCUGGACUCAGCCAAGUGUGUCUCGCAGUUCAGCAAGUGGGAAGUCUUCCUUCAGCAGGAUGAGCUCUGUGACUGAGCCUUUUGAAUAUUUUUCAUAUCAAAUAUAAAGCUGGCUACAUAAAAGCAUUUGAUGAAAGUUUGCUCAAGACAAAAUGGGAUCGUUUCCUUCAUUUUGAGUCACACAUUCUACAUUAGGCCUGGAGCCCCCAGCCCAGGGAGCCACGUGGGACCAGGCCCUGGAACUCAGCCUGGCCCGGGUCAGGAGUCUCUCUGA
rnacentral:lncRNA from 1 species